rnacentral:lncRNA from 1 species
GAAGUUCUGGUUCACCUUAUGAAGUGAUUUACAACUAUUUCCUUUCUUUUUUUUCCUUCCUUUUGUACUGUAGGAGAAACUGCUCCAAAGCAGUAGCAACAUUGUUAGGAAGAAUCAUCUUUAUCGCAAAGAAGAGAUGUAAGAACAAACAUUUCCCUGCUACUUUAUGGAGUGUGUACAUAUCAAGAGCAGUAACUUGCAACUUCUGCAACCAGAAAAACACAGGACUGAUCUCCAAGUAUAUCUGAUGCUCUUUCCAGACUCAUUUCUCCAUAUAUUCAUCCCAACAUUAAUGGCCCCCUGGCCAUGAAGUUGUAUUUAGACCCCCAGC